CUUUGAGGACACAUUCAGACCAUAGCAUCUGGUGAAUUUGUAAAAAAAUAGAGAUUUCCGGGGCUCGUGGCUGUUGAACUUUCUGUUACAUUUGAUAUGUGAAUGACAGACUGCAAUACAGUCAAUAAAUUGGAAAACCUCCAAGAAUAUUCCAAAAAAAAAGAAAAAGUGAGCUCUGGUAGUGGAUUUGCAGCUUACUAUGUUUCAUAUAUUGUAUGCAAAAUUCAAAAUUUGGCAAAAUAUCUGCACAAGAUCUACUGAAGCCAUAGCAUGGAGAUACUAUUUACAGGAAAGAAACAAAACAAACAGAAAAUGAAUAAUUUCUUCAAGAGUAAGUUUU
rnacentral:lncRNA from 1 species